UGGGGAAUAUUGGGCAAUGGGCGAAAGCCUGACCCAGCAACGCCGCGUGAGGGAAGAAGGUCUUCGGAUUGUAAACCUCUGUCCUUGGGGACGAAAAAAAUGACGGUACCCAAGGAGGAAGCCCCGGCUAACUACGUGCCAGCAGCCGCGGUAAUACGGAGGGGGCGAGCGUUGUCCGGAAUUACUGGGCGUAAAGGGUGCGUAGGCGGUUUUUUAAGUCAGAUGUGAAAUCCCCGGGCUUAACUCGGGUGGUGCAUUUGAAACUGGGAGGCUAGAGUGCAGGAGAGGGAAGCGGAAUUCCUAGUGUAGCGGUGAAAUGCGUAGAGAUUAGGAAGAACACCAGUGGCGAAGGCGCUUCUCUGGACUGUAACUGACGCUGAGGCUCGAAAGCGUGGGGAGCAAACA
rnacentral:rRNA from 1 species